UCUUCUCCGCCGGCGACCGGCGCACGGGUGAGUAACACGUAUGCAACCUGCCCCUGUCAGGGGGACAACCCGCCGAAAGGCGGGCUAAACCCGCGUACAUGCCACCGGGGCAUCCCGGAGGCAGGAAAGGCUUCGGCCGGACAGGGAUGGGCAUGCGGCGCAUUAGGCAGUAGGCGGGGUAACGGCCCACCUAACCGACGAUGCGUAGGGGUUCUGAGAGGAAGGUCCCCCACACUGGUACUGAGACGCGGACCAGACUCCUACGGAAGGCAGCAG
rnacentral:rRNA from 1 species